CCAGCCGCUCGGCCGGGCCGCUUCCGGAGGGCGGGCGCUGGGCGGCCGGAGGGGUGGCUGGUGGUCAGAGCGGGGAGGCGUCCCCCCCAGCCCGGGGGCCCUUUCGGGGGCGCGCCCGCCCCGCCCUCCAGGCGGGACUCGUUGGGUCCCUCUGGCGCCCCGUGGGUCCCUUUCCCAGAGCUGCACCCGCCCCCUCUCGGCUCCUGGGCGCCACGGAUAGGAGGGCAAGUCACGCGAGGACCAGCCGCGUGCGGAUCGAGGCGGAGGAGUCCGGGGCCCUGCACACGCUCCUGCCGAGGCUCUGUCGUUGGCGGGGCGCUCUCGGGGCCGCUCUCCCGGCUUCGACACUGCUGCGGGGCAGACCGUGCCCACAGACGGCUUGGGUGCAUGUUUGCCCCUGGAUCUCAGACCAGCUAGAAAUCAGUCUCUCCCUAAGACCCAGGCUUCUGAGGGCGAGCGAGGUUUCCAGGGACGGUGCAUACCCAAAACUUCGUGUUAGGAGAGGCCUGGGCCAGAGUGUGAAGGCGCUGCAGUGAAGUCGCACAGCAGAUGGCUUGUAUCAUCCUCAGUUCUGGCUCCCGCCUGAUGCUGAAGACAGCCUCCUCCCAGAAGCCACUUCCAGUCGAGCCUUCGGAGAGUGACGCUGGCCUGAAUCCAAACCAGACCCAUCAUCGAGAAGAAAGCAGGCUCUAGGUCUCGUCCAGGUGGGGAAUGUACCGUCAUUUCACCUGUUGCCUCUGUGUGGGAGAGCAGCGGACAAGAGCCCAAGGAUCCCCUUUGACUUAAAGGGGAUUCAAAGAGUUUAUAUCUCAAAACGCAGGCCGCUUGGAAUGUUCGCAGCUAGAAGGCCGCCCUCUUGGUUGAGACAGCCUGUCAGGACACGGAGUUUCUGUCCCAGAACUUCGGUUACAAGCUCAGAAAAACGAAGAGUCUUGUCCAGAGCACAACCUCUGAAGAAGCGGAGCAACGCGGAAAUUCCCACGGCCGGGGGAUUGUGCUGCUGGCUCGUCUCCUGGCUCAUGCCGGCUUCCAGUGCUCCUUCCUCUCCCCUGGGAAUGAGAAGGAUAGAAAGGCCCGCUGGCAGAAAAGAGAUCAGACCCCGGAGGGAGAGGAGGUGCUCGGAAGGACUCCCCCAAAGAAGAGGACGUGUCUGCGGAAAAACCAACCAGAGAUGCGCUUUGACCAAAACGCACAGGAAGGAGCCCAGCCUGAGCCCUGAGGGUGAGACACGUGCCUGAGGCCUCUGGUGCUUCAUGGAAAGAUGACUUCCAGGGGUUCCCGGGUUCCCGCCCCUCCUGGGGAGGCAGCCCGAGGAACACAGCUGGGGCAGGUGCGUCUUUAAACAUCUGACGGACCCUGUUCAGCACCAGCGGGUCCCUACUGGAGAGAGGCCUUCCCCUGAGCUCGGGCGGGAAGCCGUUCCGGCACAGCUCCGACGUGACCAAACCCAGCACGUUCACACUGGAGACAAGCCCUUUCAACGCCGUGUGUGCGGCAAAGCCUUUAACUGUGGUUCACAUCCCCUAAAACACGAGCAAACCCACACUGGAGAGAAACUGGAGGGGUGUGAGGAAUGUGGGGGGACCUUCACCCCAGCUCGUGUCUCAUUCGCCGUCGGAAACGUCACCCGCGGAAGAAGCACUGAUGGGGGUGAGUCAUCCGCCAGAUGCGGGCAGGCUUUGUGGGCUCGAGACCCAUCCUGGCAGGGCUGCCCUGGCGCCCCCUCGAUCAGGCCUUGUCCGCUCAGGCCGGGGGUCCCACCCUCACCAGGAACACCCAGGUCUGGCUGGAGACCUCCAUCAUGUCACUACGAUGACAAGGACGCUUCUCACAGCUGCGGCACCAGAGGCAGGCUUCGGGCCCUGGCACAGCCCCCACCUCCCGCUGCUGCCUCCGCCUGUGGCGCCCACGCUGGCUCCCCAACCACUGCUCCUUUGGAGACUGGUCUGCAGCCUCUCAGCCCUCAGCGUCCUGAGUCCAUCUCCAUGUGGCCUGGCCCCGAGCUGGACGGCAGUGCUUUGCAAUGAGCUCCAGGGACCCCGCUGUCCCCCGGCUGGCUGUGGUGGCAGUGCUGGGCCUCGUCCUCUGCCUUCCCGCCUCGGCUGGGGCACCGCUUGAACGCGGCCCCCCUCCCCAGGAACUGGACCCCCUGUGGUCCUCCCAGCUCAGCCCCCAUCCCAGGUGAACCACCGUGACACCAAAUGCUACCACCACGCGAGAUCCCUGCCCUGGCCACGCGGGGCCCUGGGACGCCCAUGACAGCUGGGAUCCCUUCAGACGCCAGGCGGUGGGUCCGUCCCCAAGGCCAGCUCUCCGUUCAGGUUUGUCCCACUUCUGCGGGCCUCACCCCCAUCCUGCCCCCGUCACGUCCACAUGCCGGGCCUGCCCGUGGUUCCCUCCGGGAGGGGUCUGGACGGCCUCUGUGCUCUCCUGGGGGGGGGGUGUGCUCUGUCCCAGCGUUUCCGGGUGGUGUGGGAGGGGCAAGGCCACUGCCACCCAGGAGGGAAAGUAGCUUUUUAAUAGGAAAAUGCUGAUAUUUAGGUUUUCAGCAGUUCGGACCCAGAAAACAGAGCAGCCUUCGUCGCGGGGGCUCCUCUGUGAGGAGAGGGGUCGGGGCUCCCGGGACAAGUGUCUCCCCAGUCUGACAGGCGCUGACCUCUUCUCCGUAAAAGCUGCGACGGCAGAGCAGCUCUGCCCGCGCUGGCGCCUCCGCCCAGGCUCGGCAGGCCCCCUCCCACGCGGCAGCCGGCCCAGGUGACGGGCUAACCUGCCGCCCGCGGUCCUGCUCUCACCGACCAAGAGAUGGCGGGGCGCUGAGGCAGAAUCUCCGAGCAGGUGCUGGGCUGGCCUGGGGGGGACACGCCUUUGGUCCCGGGUGGGGCAGGUGCUGUGAGGGACGCGACUGGGACGUCUGGCAAACUUGAGUCCAGACUGUCCCCGGGGGGGGGGGACGACACACAGGGUCACUGCUCCCCAGUCCAAGGGCCUGUGGCCGUCCCAGACAGCAUCCUCGUCACGAAAAUGUACGCGAAGGUCACGGCCUUCAGGCCACGGCGUCCUGAUGGAAGUUUGCGCAGAGGCUGACAAGGGAGCGACGACAGCAGGACCCACACGGACCCUGAGCGGUGGCGACGCAGACCGGCUCAGCGUCGGGCGUCCCUGAAUCUAGACCCAGGGCUGGCAGGCCUUUGCUGUGAGGGGCCCGAGGCGGGUGGUUCCCGGCUUGUGGGCACGAGGUCCCGUCCCGACGCAGCUCAGCGGUGCCAGGCAGAGGCCGGCGUGCGUAUCCGCGGAGCUUUGCUUCCAGAAGCAGGAAGGUGGGGCUGGGGCGAGCGAGGCCCCAUGUGCUGGGAGUCCCGAGGUCCUGCAGACCCAGCGUCGGCAGGAGGAGGCCUGGGCGCGGGGAGGGGCGGGGAGACGCCCAGAGCCGGCCCCGCCGUUGGCCUUGCUGCACCGGGGAGAGGCCGUGGAGGCGGCCGUCAGCCGUGCCGCUCCCGCGGGCCGGGGGCUCUGCAUCCGCUCCACCCGGUUCCCUCGGAUGGCUGCUGACUUGCCCUGACGGAGGUAUUUUGUGUGGAGAGCAUCGUGUGACGUGCACCCGAGCUUACGGUGCUUCACGCGCAGAGAGAAGAGCCGCCGUUGUCUAUGUAACCCCGUUUCCAUGUCAUUUCCCACGGAAAAGCCCUCUUUCUGUGGUUGCCUGACAAUCCGUGGAUUAGAAACAUUGAUUUAGGAGUUCCCGUCGUGGCUCAGUGGUUAGUGAACCCGACUGGCAUCCGUGAGGACAUGGGUUCGAUCCCCGGCCUCUCUCAGUGGGUUAAGGAUCUGGCGUUGCCGGGAGCUGGGGUGUAGGUUGCAGACGCCGCUUGGAUCCUGCGUUGUUAUGGCUGGGGUGUAGGCCGGCAGCUGCAGUUCGGAUUGGACCCCCAGCCUGGGAACCUCCAUGUGCCAAGGGUGCGGCCCUAAAAGGCAAAAAAAAAAAAAAAUUUGCUCUAACCAUCUCCUGACAAGAGCCUGUAGGCCGUUUCCCGUUUAGGUCGUUAUAAACAAUGCAGCAUCUCCUCCACAUUUAGGGCCAACGGGGUGGGUCUCCAGACGUGAACUGCAGGGAGAGAGCGUUCUGGCAAAUUCUGCUGCCUAAGUGCCCCAGCAGUGCACAGACAGCAGGUGAGGUCUCAUCUCGCCGGGCUGGUAGAGGAGAAGCAGCUUCUGAUGUGACACCUUCGAUUCCUAAAGAGGAAGUGGGCGGCCAGGUGCUCAGUCUCUUGGGCCAGAGACGAGGGACCCCGGGCCAGUCCUGCUCCUCGUGCUUCGCGUUCCCCCGGGGGGACGCUGACAGCGCUCGCCUGUGGCUGUGACGUCCUCAGCGCGGCGCUGGCCCCAGGGGUCCGCCACUGUCCUCUGGUCAUGUGUCCUCAGCGAGGGGACGUUUGCCUCCCGGCGUGAGAGGGCGGCGCCGGCUGGCGGCCUCCGUGCUUCUCUGAGGAAAGCGAAAUCAACCCGGAAGACAACGGAAAAGUGAUUUUUUUAACAGGAGACAUGAGGAAAAUGACACGGCCAAACUAAAACCACUUCAUGAGCUUCUUCUUUUGCUCUUUAAUGGCCACACCCACUGCACAUGGAGCUCCCGGGCCGGCAGUGGCAUCCAGGCCACGGCUGCUGACCUGCGCUCGUGGCGUUUUUGCCUCGUGGCGUUUUGGUCAAGACGGGAGGGCUCACUUCCUGCUUCUUCCGAGUUAACCAUCAUGACGCCACACCAUCGCCAAGCUCUGAAGCCGAGUCUUUCAGAUUCAUCGGAUUUGAUGGGUUGUUUUGGGGGGUUUGUUUGUGUUUGUUUUGCUCUUGCUAUUCAAGUGAAACUCAAAUUCCAGGAACAAGAAAACCUGUUACCUGAGUCAAAGGAGAAAACAUAAUAAAAGUUAUGAAACACUUGGGGUCCCAUCGUGGCUCAGCUGUGUAACAAACCCGACUAGUAUCCAUGAGGACACAAGUUUGAUCACUGGCCUUGCUCAGUGGGUUAAGGAUCCGGUGUGGCCGUGAGCUGUGGUGUAGGUCGCAGAUGAGGCUCAGAUCCCGCGUUGCUGUGGCUGUGGUGUAUGCUGGCCGUUGUAGCUCUGAUUUUGAGCCCUAGUUUGGGAGCCUCCAUAUGCCGCCGGUGCAGCUCUAAAAAGACAAAAAUUACAGUUAAAAUUUUUAAAAGUCAUAAAAUACUUAAACCGUAAUGAUAAUGAAAAUACAACUUGCCAGAACCUCUGCAUGCAGCUAAAGCGAGACGGAAAUUUGUAGCCUUACGUGGUCAGCAGAGCUGGAAGUCUACAGGCUGUACAUCCCAAAGGGAAAAAUGGCAGAGUUCCCGUCGUGGCUCAGUGGGUUACAGGCCCGACCAGUAUCCAUGAAGAUGUGGGCUUGAUUCCUGGCCCUGCUCAGUGGGUUAAGGAUCCGGUCACGGACGCAGCUCGGAUCCUGCGUUGCUGUGGCGCAGGCUGGCAGCUGCAGCUCCAAUUUGACCCCUAGCCUGGGAACCUCCCAUGGAUACCACUGAGAGAAUUUAAAAGCAAAAGUCGGUUCUUUGACAGGACUGCGGAAACUGACAAUCCCUGGCAGGGGAUCCAGGGAGAGAGAAGGGGCAGAGACUAAAACGCUAAACCGGCAAGUCAGGAGAUGGGAGAACUUGGAUGAAGCGGGUUACGGAAGAUGAGUUACUGAAGCCGACGCCGGAGGGAACAGCCCGCAGACCCUCUAAGCCCCAGACAGACUUGCAUCCAUAGAUCACAGUCUCGCUCGCGGUGACGGCAAGUCCAGAUGGUGCGCAAGUGACUCAGGAAGCAGGUGCCUCCCACGCCUCCCAGGCAGUGAAGAGGAGACACUCCUGCCUUCCUUUAUGAGGCUCGUAUAACACGCUGCCACAGUGACAGCUCAGUGCCACCUGCUUAGAGAUGAAAAAGCGCUAAACAAAACACUGCAGAUAAAAUCCGGAGUGAUUAAGAGGGACUGUGGCAGGACCGUUCUUUUUCUAGAAAGGCAAAUUUGGCUCAAAAUGGGUGUGAUCUCUCACAUUUUCAGUUUUACGGAGAACUGGGGCACCAUAGUGUCAUCUCAACAGCCGCGGAAAAUAUUUGCUAAAAUUGGACAUCCACUCGUGAUUAAUAUCUCUUCACCCACACGGACUAUAAUGGACGUUUCCCAACCGGAUGUAGGACGUCUCCCAAAACACGCAGCAAGCGAACCUUAGGCUUAGGUGUUAAACGUUUGCAAACAGGAGCAACGCGGAUCGGCCGCCGUCACCCCUGCUCUUCCAUGUCGGAGAUUCCGGCCGGGGCAGUGAGACAAGGAGUGAAGCCCAGGAGCAGCCUUAGGAGGGCAGCCCUUACCUGUCAUUCUCAGCGGCUGCCACUGCCUGCAUGUGGCCAUGGAAGUGACCACCAGCUGUGGAGAUCAUUUAUGAAGGGCUCGUUUAGCAAGACUGUCACAGGGAGCAACAUGCAGAAACCGGCGGAGGUUCACCCCUGGGAAGAGUGGACGCAGGGACUCAAGCAGAUGUCUUCACACCGACAUCACGUCAGCAGGACUCACGGUAGCCUCUGGUGGGACCCACAGACGGGUCCCUCAGCCAGUGAACAGGUAAACGGCGUGGGCCGUGCACACGGAGGCAUAGUAGCCGCAGGAGGAACCGGGCACCUACACGCGACGCCGGGGAUAAACCUUGAAGACACGAUGCUUGGUGAAAGCCAGGCACGAGGGACACAUACUGAGCGACUCCUUUUAUACGAGGUCCCCAGAGCAGGCAGAUGCACAGAAAGUGGAACGCUGGGGCCUUGCUGGGCUCAGAGGUGCGGUCGGGAGGGUGAGAAGGUUUGGGGUGUGGGUGGUGGACAUGGAUACACAGCAUUGUGAGUAUUUAACGCCACUGACUUCGUCACACAGGAUGCACUAUUAACAAAACUCAACGUUUACAAGCUGUUAUCGAGGAGUUCCCGCUGUGGCACCCCAGGAUCGACAGCGUUACCGCUGCAAGUGCCCACGUGCGUGUGCCCAGAGCCACGUCCUUACCGCACGGCUGGCUCUUCUCCCAGCAGAGGGACCCCGUGCUGAUUGUCCUGCUUCGUUUAGUCCAAAGGAACGUCCGUCCUUUUCAGGUUGUGAGAGCAGAUGGGCCCCAAAGCCAGAAACAGGCGUAGAAAAGAACCCCAGAACCAGCAGCGGGACCGCGUUCCUCGGCUCCAGGGAGGAACGGAGAUGAGAGGAAGGAAGAGAGGCCGUGUGGGGAGGAAAGGCCCCGGCCGCCCAUGUCCUGACCGCGGGCUCAGGCCGUGCUGAGCUCGGAGUCUGCUGCCUCCUGGCUCCCAAGGCACAAACUGCAGCCACGUCUUGGCGACCACGAAGCCACUGCUCCACCCCUUGUCCAGAGUCCCUGUCCAGAGUCCCUGCAGGGUCCAGGCCCAGGCACAGGCCGAGGCUGACGCUGCAGACUCUGCAGCCAGGGGUGUCCAAGGCCUGAGGCCAGGCAUCCCAUGGGGUGAGCUCCCAGGCACCUUGGGCCCAGCACACACACCCUCGAGCUUCCUGUGGCAUGUGACUGUGUCACUGUGGCCUCUCCCAUGAGGCACUCAGUUCAUCCCUAUUUUUUUUUUUAUUUUUUUUUUUACUUUUUAGGGCCACACCUGCAGCAUAUGGAGGGUCCCAGGCUAGGGGUCUAAUGGGAGCUACAGCUGCUGGCCUGUACCACAGCCCCAGCAACACAGGAUCUGAGUCUCAUCUGUGACCUACACCACAGCUCACAGCAACGCUGGAUCCUUAACCCACUGAGCAAGACCAGGGAUCGAACCUGUAACCUCAUGGUUCCUAGUCGGAUUUGUUUCUGCUGCGCCACGACGGGAACUCCUGGUUGUUCCCUUUUGGUUCCACUCUUGGGGUUACUGGAAGCUGGAGCACACGGGGUACCGGACUCCUCUCGUGCUCCCUGGCGAACUGGGGUGGCUGUGGGCUGAAAACAGUCGCUUGCAGCUGGCGGUCCUGGGCCUCUGCUGGUGUAGAUGCUUUCUCCAGUCUAGUUUUCCCCGCUGGUUUUUUUUUUUUUUUUUUGGCCACCCCCACAGCAUGUGGAAGUUCCCGGGCCAGGGACUGAACCUGCGCCAGAGCAGUGACCUGAGCCACCGCAGUGACCUCGCUGGGUCCUUGACCGCUGGGCCACCAGGGGAUGCCCUGCUGUUGUUUUCACUGUUUAGAGACGCAGCUGCCCAGCUAGUCAAGGUCGUUGCACUUCUGCUUCAUUGUAUCUUCACUCCCGUCAUCGUCAUCCGGAGACAGGAAGCGUGGCCUUCGUGUGGGCCGGUGUUCCUCCCUUCGCGGCUCUCUUGUCACGCGGUCCUCUGAACCCACAUGGUGCUGCCCUGCCCCCCACGUCUCUUCCCAGCAGCCCCAGCGUCCGUCACAGGACGUCCUUUGUCCUGCUGCCUCUGGAUCUUGCUUUCUCCCACAGUGAAUGUCUGACCCGCCCUGUUGGCUGCAUUCAGCUGCUCUUCCUGCAGCCAGGAUUUCCCAGGGAGGCCCCCCUGCUGGCAUCUCCCAGCCCCAGGCCUGCAGAGCCAGAGACCUGGUGGUCGCUGCCCCUGGAUAGGUCUCUUGGGGGCCACCUCACAUUAACCAGACUUGUAGGAGGCCAACACACAAAUCAGAAAAGGAACGUGGCGUUCCUGUCGCAGCUCAGGGCUUUAUGAGCCCAACUGCUAUCCGUGAGGAUGCGGGUUCGAUCCCUGGCCUCGUUCAGUGGGUUGAGGAUCUGGUGUUGUCUUGAACUGUGGUGUGGGUCUCAGAUGUGGCUUGGAUCCCGCGUUGCGGUGCCUGUGGUGUAGGCCAGCAGCUGUAGCUCUGAUUUGAGCCCUAGCCUGGGAACCUCCAUAUGCCACAGCUGUGGCCCUAAAAAGACAAAAGACAAAAAAAAAAAAAAAGAAUGUGCCAACUUAGAAUGGGCACGGCGCCUCCCUGUGACACAAUGCGUGUCCCUCGAUAGACACCCCCCGCCCCGCCCCUGGGUGCAGGCUCCCCCGCUGUCCGGAAGCCAAGGCACCAGGGACACCCUCCGAAGCCGAAAUGGCUCAAAGCGCAGAGGCGCUCGGGCCCGUCUUGCUCGCGGAGCAGGGACAAGAGGAGAUGCAGCACAGAGGCAAGUCCUGGCCCUGGCGCCUGUGCUGAGGGGUGGUUCCAGGAACAAGCGUGUCAGGAGCCGCCCUCGCUGCGUCUGGAAAAGCUGCUACGUGACAGCUGAGCACGCUUCACUUUUUACCUUUAUUCAGAAAGGCUAAAAUACUCUUUGGAUUUGUUGGGGAACGGGUACGCACGUGGGUCUUUCAUAAAAGUGAAGUCGCAUGAGGCAGACUGAAAAACCGGGGGUGGGGGGACCUCUCUACCUGGAGGACUCAGGCUCUGUCGUUGCCCAGACCCCGCAGUCACCCCCCGCGGCAGCUCUGCCCUGACUGCCCUCCUGUGCCCCUACCUGCCUUGUUACAGCCCCUCUUCUCGCAAGGGGCAGUCCUGCCCUCAGAAGGGGACGCUGGUGAUAUCUGGGGACGUUUUGCGUGUCACAACCGAGGAGAGGUGCUGCUGGGACGUUAGGUGAAGAGCUAAAGGCAAGGUUCAGGAGGGCCGAGGUUCAGAAGCUGGAAGACUGGAGGGGGCGGCUUUCAGCAGAAGCACCUGCACCUGGCAAGGCGCCCCUGAAGGUUGGGAAGGGCCUGGGGACGGGGCCCAGGUCCCCCUGAAGGGGUUGCAGAGGAAGGCAGGAAUGUGGUGAUGGGCCAGAAGUCUUGGUAGCAGUAAUUAGAACCCAAGGUCUCCCGCCUCACGGCAAACAGAAGCCCCCACCCCACCCCCCUGAAACUAAACCAGGGGGCCGACGAGGGAACAGGGGAGAGUCCAGCCCCCAGGCGCCUCCGUCCACCGCCAGGGAGGAUGCUCCAGACAGAAGGAGGUUGUGCGCUCCUGUCACAAGCCCCUCCUCGCUACCAGCUCCCUGACUCCGUCCCCGACUCCAUCUGCGGAAGCAGCCACCAGCCACACUCCAGCCUGAGCCCCACGUCCCAGCCAGCAGCGCGUGCUGUCAUUUGUGUCCACCAACGGGGCCCCACCGAGCCUCCUCUCCCCGCCCGUCCCUCCCCUUCACUCCUGCCUCUCCGCCGCCGCCGCCCCCAAACUGGUCUUAGCUGCACUCUUCACUCCCCAGCUCAGGGCCUGCAGUGGCUCCUGGUGCACAGAGAAUGAAAUCCGGGCUCCUGACUGGCUUCAAAGGGUCCGGCCCGUUCUGUUCCCCCCUUGCUCAUGACUCUCCCGCCUGCCUCGCCCUCCAAAUCCUCAGUGAUGCUCCGUGAUGCCCCAGGACCUUUGCACGCUCUUCUCUGAUUACUCUCACCUCCAGCCGUUGUGUGACUAGCUCGCCUCCUCCCUCCCUCUCUUCUCUAAUGUCACCUCCUUAACCCUUCGAGGCAGGGACCAGCUUGUGGCCCAGGGCCUGGUACUAGGUUGGGCAGGGGGGAGCAGGAGUAACUUAGAGAACCUACGGUGAGCAGGGCUGGAGGAGCAGGUGGCGGUACUAUCUCCACCCCCAGUCUUUGGCGAGAGCCAGCUCCUCCAGGCGCAGGCACCAUUUCUCCAGCGCCAGGCGGUCUGUGCGCUUCAGCCUCUCCCAGCUCUUCACCCCCCCCAGGGCAGCCCCUCCCCACACACUUGGUCCUUCUUCUGUCCAGUUUCCCUGCUGCCUCGGCCCCCGCCCUGGGACCAGAUGCCUCUUCCUCUGUGAGGUGAUGCUCAGGCUUGGGGCUGUGGCCCCUCCCUUGCUGUCUUCUUGCCAUCCCUCCCCCCAGGCUCAGGGGUAGCCGUGGGCAAGCCGCCCUGUUGGACUGCCAUCCCUACUGGACAGGUUCGUGGAAUUCUUCUCCCACUGGCUGCUGUUCCCAGCAAGAGGGGGUGACCCCUGACUUUGUUGCCAGUAUCGGCUGCCUCUGGGCACCGGUGCCAAGGAGAAUCAGAGCCGGAGUUGGAGGAAACGGAACAAGUAGCUUUAGCUGCAGGCAGAGGCCACCACAGCAGGCUAGAGCCUCCACAACUGUGUCCCCUGAGGGGGUAGUGAGGAGUCUUACGGCGUCAAGGAGCAGGGUGUGAUCCACGCCUGGACAUCUUCCUGACUGGUGGGUGGGGAGGUCCCUGGGGGUCAGCGUCAUCAGCCUCCAGGCUCCGACCUGUGAGGGGUCCACCGGCGUGUGGGCAGCACCCAGCUGACGUCUUCCACCUGGUGGGGCUCCAGCACCUCCAGACAGCUUCAAGGACAUGACUCAGAAUGUUAUCUAUAGUCCUCGAAAAAGAACUAACUAAAGGUCCUUGACUUCGUUGAAUGGCU